AUUUCACACCAAUUCGAUAGUCGAUCGACACUCGACAGUCAUUCUUCUUCCGUUUCUUCUCGCUGUGCAUUAUGGUUGAUUCUACGCUACACGUGGUUGCCUGUAAUUCACGAGUAAAGCAGUACCUUGUGCGAAAUGAAGGUUUGCUUGGUCUCUGAAAUUUAUAAUGGCAACAACUCCAGGUUUGCUAAGUCUCUGAAAUUUAUAAUGGCAACAACUCCAGAAAGAGAAACGUGACGAAAAUACAGGGAAAUAAAAGCUUUCCAAUCAAAGUAAGACGCAAUAUGGAACCCUUUGGCAAGUGCAACAGGGAUUUAAGUACGCGGUGCACGGAACAAAUGGGCCUCUUCGGGAUUCUCAUCCGGCCUUUACCUGAUGGAAAUAUGCGAAAGUGGAAAGGAAAGCUCGAGGCGAUAUCCUUUGCGGCUUCUUCAGCUUCUUUAGAAUCCCGGGAUUCGAUGAGAUAUAUAGGAAUAAAACAUAAGAACUAAGAAGGAUAUAACGUUAGUUAUAACGUUAGCGAUACACGAUAAAAUUAUAUUGAGUGCAUCAGAAAAUAGCAGCCAAUUUUAUGCUGUAA